rnacentral:rRNA from 1 species
AUACGGAGGAUCCGAGCGUUAUCCGGAUUUAUUGGGUUUAAAGGGUGCGCAGGCGGGAGAUUAAGUCGGCGGUGAAAUUUUGCAGCUCAACUGUAAAAGUGCCUUCGAAACUGGUUUCCUUGAGUGUAGAUGAAGUAGGCGGAAUUUGUGGUGUAGCGGGGAAAUGCAUAGAUAUCACGAAGAACGCCGAUUGCGCAGGCAGCUUACUAAACUACUACUGACGCUCAGGCACGAAGGCGUGGGGAUCAAACAGGAUUAGAUACCCUGGUAGUCCACGCAGUAAACGAUGAUUACUAGCUGUUUGCGAUACAAUGUAAGCGGCUGAGCGAAAGCGUUAAGUAAUCCACCUGGGGAGUACGUUCGCAAGAAUGAAACUCAAAUGAAUUGACGGGG